AGCCUGGUGUGUAAUUCAGUUUGAGGAGAACAGAGGGCCACCGUCAGCCUGGGAAAGUUCACACUCGGCAAUGUGCAGACACAUUUCAGGCACCGAGGAAAUAUUGCAGAGGAUGUGUUGACUUCACCUGGCAGGCGGUGCACACUGAGUCCCCCGCUGUCCUGAGUCUUGAAGGGUAUAUCUGCAGGUGUCACGCAGUAUUCACCGCUGAUAUUGGCCGCCACAGUGAACAGCAGCUUGUUUUCGAAGGCCUGCUCUAGUAGCCGGAGGAUCCUGGUCCCUGUGGUGUUCUGAGGCAGUCGAAUGGCCUGAGAGCAGAUGUCCCUGGGAUACUGAAGAGAGCAACACCUCUGACAUCAUACUGUUAUGAUGAAUGAUAUCUCAAAUCAUGCAACUUUUGAGGAGAGAUGCUGACGCCAACCUUCACCUCCAUCCUCCCCACCACCACCAGGAUGGUCCCUGUCCAUACUUCCCGGGGGUCGGCUACACCCCUACCUUCAUCUUCAGGCAGGAAACGCAAACGCAAAGUCCGCAACCCUCAGGACGUGAGCUAUGGACGGGGCCUACGCCAAAGAACAUUAUCUUUUAUAUUUUGCUUGCUGUUUGGUAAUAAAUAUCAUUGUUUCGUU